rnacentral:tRNA from 1 species
AAAUACUAGUUAAAAUAUAACAAUGCCUUGUCAAGGUAUAAUUACCUUUAUAGUGUAUCUCAU